rnacentral:rRNA from 1 species
CGGAGGGUGCAAGCGUUAUCCGGAUUCACUGGGUUUAAAGGGUGCGUAGGUGGGUUGGUAAGUCCGUGGUGAAAUCCCCGAGCUUAACUUGGGAACUGCCAUUGAUACUAUCAGUCUUGAAUAUUGUGGAGGUUAGCGGAAUAUGUCAUGUAGCGGUGAAAUGCUUAGAUAUGACAUAGAACACCAAUUGCGAAGGCAGCUGGCUACACAAAUAUUGACACUGAGGCACGAAAGCGUGGGGAUCAAACAGG